rnacentral:ncRNA from 2 species
CCAGUCUGUGCCAGCAGCUGCGGUAAUUCCAGCUCUGCGAGUUUGCUCCCAUAUUGUUGCAGUUAAAACGCCCGUAGUCUGAAUUGGCCAGCAAUGGUCGUACGUAUUUUUACGUUCACUGUGAACAAAUCAGGACGCUUAGAGUAUGGCCACAUGAAUGACUCAGCGCAGUAUGAAGUCUUUGUUUUCUUCCGAAAACAAGCUCAAUGAGAGCCAUCGGGGGUAGAUCUAUCUCAUGACGAGUGGUGGAAUACUUUGACUCAUGAGAGAGAAGCUGAGGCGAAGGCGUCUACCUAGAGGGUUUCUGUCGAUCAAGGGCGAGAGUAGGAGUAUCCAACAGGAUUAGAGACCCUGGUAGUUCCUACCUUAAACGAUGCCGACAGGAGUUUGUCAUUUGUUAAUGGCAGAAUCUUUGGAGAAAUCAUAGUUCUUGGGCUCUGGGGGAACUACGACCGCAAGGCUGAAACUUGAAGGAAUUGACGGAAGGGCACACCAGGGGUGGAGCCUGUGGCUUAAUUUGAAUCAACACGGGGAAACUUACCAGGACCAGAUGUUUUUUAUGACUGACAGGCUUCGGGUCUUUCAGGAUAUUGUUUUUGGUGGUGCAUGGCCGUUGGUGGUGCGUGGGUUGACCUGUCUAGCGUUGAUUCAGCUAACGAGCGAGAUUAUCGCCAAUUAUUUACUUUGCCGAAGUCCUUCGGUUAAAGUUCUAAUUGGGACUCCCUGCGAUUUUAGCAGGUGGAAGAGGGUAGCAAUAACAGGUCCGUGAUGCCCUUUAGAUGCUCUGGGCUGCACGCGUGCUACAAUGUUAGGAUCAAUAGGACUGCGAGCCUGAGAGGGUGCGCUACUCUUAUAAUCCCUAACGUAGUUGGGAUUGACGUUUGUAAUCAGCGUCAUGAACCAGGAAUCCCUUGUAAAUGUGUGUCAACAACGCACGUUGAAUACGUCCCUGCCCUUUGUA